GAUGAACGCUGGCGGCGUGCCUAAUACAUGCAAGUCGAGCGAACGGACGAGAAGCUUGCUUCUCUGAUGUUAGCGGCGGACGGGUGAGUAACACGUGGAUAACCUACCUAUAAGACUGGGAUAACUUCGGGAAACCGGAGCUAAUACCGGAUAAUAUUUUGAACCGCAUGGUUCAAAAGUGAAAGACGGUCUUGCUGUCACUUAUAGAUGGAUCCGCGCUGCAUUAGCCAGUUGGUAAGGUAACGGCUUACCAAGGCAACAAUGCAUAGCCGACCUGAGAGGGUGAUCGGCCACACUGGAACUGAGACACGGUCCAGACUCCUACGGGAGGCAGCAGUAGGGAAUCUUCCGCAAUGGGCGAAAGCCUGACGGAGCAACGCCGCGUGAGUGAUGAAGGUCUUCGGAUCGUAAAACUCUGUUAUUAGGGAAGAACAUAUGUGUAAGUAACUGUGCACAUCUUGACGGUACCUAAUCAGAAAGCCACGGCUAACUACGUG
rnacentral:rRNA from 1 species